rnacentral:piRNA from 1 species
AAGGAGAGAGAAUUCACAGAACU